GUGUACCGACUGAUGGCACCUUUUGAAUUUCGUUGUCCUUGUGAUAAUGACAAUAAAGAUUUAUCUUAUCUUAUGAAUUUGAAAUGUAGUAGAUUUAUCAAGAACUAAAACCUGAAGGGUUGUUUUUCUUACAAAUCCAGGUCAACCAAAGUAUAACAGACAUGUUGCCUUUUCUAAAACUUGCAUGGCUAAGAGAGACAACCUUCAUUAGCUUUGAGCACUCUAUAAUGUUGACUGCACAAGUUGAAAAGCAAAUCAGAAAAGAUAAAAAUGAGGCAAAAUAAUGAUUAAUUCUUCCAUAGUCUGUUGGAUUCCAAACAAACACGUCUUUUUUUCCUUAAAUUAAAAUCAAUGAUGGUCAAGAAGAAAAUCACAAAAAAAUCUUUAAUAUCAAAGUGUAACAAAUUUCUACAAAAUAAUGACAAAUAAACUACGUUGUCAAAUAAGUGAAAUAUUCACCCCUUUAAAGGAAUUGAUCUAAUUAAACAAAAGUCCAGCCAACUGGUGACAGUCAUCUCACAAUGAGCGGAAUGGAGAUCAGCUACAAUCUUUAUCUUUAUACUACAAUCUCAAAUGAUUGUAGUAUAAAGAUACAUGUGUCUGGAGGCUCCAUUUUGUUAUUCCUGGCUACCAUUAUGGCAUAAACACUAUAGAACACUCCAAGCAAAUCAGCAAAAAGGUUGUUGAAAAGUAUCAGAGGAUGGAUACAACAAGGCCCUAAACGUCCCCUGGCGUUCAGCUCCAACAUCAAGAAAUGGAAUUAAUGUGGUUGUGUAUAUCUGCCUAGAUCAUGCCAUCCUACUGCACCGAGUGACCGUGCAGGAAAGAGAACAGAGAGGACACCAAGAGCCUCAUAUAAAUGAGUGCACAGCUUUCACUCUAAAAGUUGGUGUAGUGACAAAUUUUAAAAAGUGCAGCACACAAAAAAUUCAGACAUAUAAAACCAUGCGCACGCAGAUGAUUUCUGCAACUUUUCUUUAGAAUAGAAUAGAAUAGAAUUACUUUAUUCAUCCCAGCAGGGAAAUUAUUUCGCAGUUACAGCAGCAUAGAGACAAGACACACAACAACCCAAUUUGCGUGAAAUGGAACACAACUGCUGGUGCCACAUGAACCACCCUAAGCCUACCCUGUUGGGUUCUGCAGGGGAGUGGUUUCUCUACAUUUACAGGGUGGCAGGCUGACAGGAUCCAGCUGGUGCUCAUCAAGACCAAUCAGCGAAGGCCUUAAAUAGGAGCGGCUUCCCUGAGGCAGACGCCAGAUGAUUUUGCUUCAGUAGUGGUACACUCUGGCUCUCUGUUACUGUGUUUAACUGUUCUGAUUCCUCUCUCAUCUAUUCCCUCCUCAGAGAACCAGCUUUGAUCACCCCCUGGUGCUCAGACUACCUAAUUACCCGAUCCUCGCUGCUCCGCUAAACCUAGCUCCAGGAUACCUCCACGACCACCAGCCAGCUGCUGCCUGUCCACCCUCAGUCUCAUGCUGGAACUCCUCCACCUGGAAAUCCCACACUGCACCGACUGCUGGAAAACCCAGGUACCCACCUCUGCUCAUCCUAACCCUCAGACAUUCCUCCUCUGGCCCGGUUCCUCCCUGCUGCUGCAGAUCAACGCCUCUCUAUUCUCUCCCCAUUUGCACUCAUUAUUCAAUAAAUCUGUUAAACUGCGCUUGGUGUCCAUAGUUGUUGCUUGCCUUAGAGUCCUGGUAACCUCUCACCAUGACACACCCACUCUCAGGACUUCUUCCUUCAGACUGUGCUUAUUUUAACUCCCCACAUAAGACUGGUAAAGGCAGAGGCCUAGUGACAUAUUUAGAUCUAGCUUUCACUGUCAACAGAUUUCUGCAAAUCCGUACUUUGCAUGUUUAAUUUAAUUUGAAAUUAAACAAACUCCUUCAUUGCUGUGUGGAGUGGUUUACCACCCUGCUAAGUUUGAUAAGGACUUAAUCUCUGAAUUUUCGGAUUUCUUGACUGGGAUUACCAUGAUCAGAUACUAAUUAUUGGAGAUUUCAACAUACAUGUAUGUUGUGAUGACAAACCAUUAGUAAAGCACUUCCUGGACUUGAUUGAUUCCUUUAAUUUUAUUCAAUUAAAAGUUUGUUGGUUGGCCCAAUUCACCAAAAAGGCCAUACUUUGGACCUUGUAUCAUCUCAUGGCUUUUGUUUAAAUAUCAAUGAAGUCUGUCAAACUUGCAUUUCCAAUCAACUGUUCUGUUCACUAUCGCUAUUUCAACCACUGUGGUUAAAAAAUGUACAAGAUCUACUACUUCUCGUAGGAUUACCUCGUCAACCACCUCUCAGUUCUCUGCAGCCAUUGGUGAUACGUUAUCACCUGUGUCACACAUCAACAGCAAUUUUGAUGUCAAUGAACAAAUAGAUUUUCUGAGUCGUAGUUCAAUGAAACUACCUGUGCUCUCAGGCGAAACAGAAGGCAAGCCGAGAGGCAGUGAAAAAAGAUUAAGUUGCAGGUUUCUUUUGACAUUCCGAAAAUUGUUUACUUAAUUACCAGAAUAAUUCAGUAAAAUCUGAAAAAUCAAAAUACUUGGUUGCUCUGGUUUCCUCAAACAAAAAUAGGCCUCAAGUUCUUAAAGUUUCAGAUAAAGUUAUUAACCCUCCGAAUGCACCUGCUUAUACAGCUUCUGUUGAUCUUUGUAACAAAUUCUUAAAAUUUUUCACUGACAAAAUGUCAGCCCUUAGGGCAGGGGUGCCCAAAGUGGUAGCGACAACCUUUUCAGCAUAUCAAUUUUCUUCUUAGGCCAUCUAAUGAGCCAUCAUUUGAUCCAGGUGCAUUAAACCAGGAAGAGAACUGAAACAUGCAGGAUGCCGGACCUCGAGGACCGACUUUGGGCACCACUGUCUUAGGGGCUUUACUAUUUUGCCUGUGUUGGAAACAUCUCUAGGUGGUGCCAGCUAUGAACAGUUUGAGCCAGUUUUUUGUCCCACUUGUCCACUGUAGUUAAACAUCUGCGGCCAACAAAUUGUCCCUUGGGCUGUCUCCCUUCUCGCUUAUGUCCUUCCUGUCAUUGGGUCAUAUAUCCUUACCUUGAUAAAUAUCUCUCUUUAUCGGACAUGUCCCGGCUGCUAUCAAACAUGCCAUGGUAUACUCAUUAUUAAAAAAAACUGAACUUAGACCACGGUAAUCUUGCUAAUUUUAGACCUAUUUCUAUUACUAUCUUUAUCAAAAGUUUUAGAAAAGAUUGGUUUUACUCGGCUCCAGUCUUUUCUAACAGACCAUGAUAUAUCUGAGAAAUUCCAAUCUGGUUUUAAAUGUGGACACAGUAUAGAAACCGCCUUUCUUAGCGUAUUUAAUGAUCUAACAGUUGAUUCAGGGGACAUUGCGGUUUUAUGUUAUUAGAUUUAAGUGCAGCGUUUGAUACCAUUGACCACAACAUCCUUUUAUUUCGAUUGAAGCACUGUGUUGGUCUUAAGGAUACAGUUUUAGGCUGUGUUCACACUGCAGCCUGAAGUGACCCAAUUCUGAUUUUUUGUUAAAUCGGAUUUUUUUGCCGGGGCCGUUCACACUGCCACACAUAUGGGACCUGUAUGUGUUCUGCAGUCUGAACAGGAAAACAACCUGUGCUGUUCAGACUAUCAUGAAAAGAUCAAAUACAGGUCGCAUUACGUCAAAAAAUUAGAAUUGGGUCACUUCAGGCUGCAGUGUGAACGCAGCCCAAGAUUGGUUCUCAUCGUAUUUGAAAGACAGAAGUCUUUCUGUUCAUCUUGAUCACUGUUCACAGUGGCAGCACCCCUAAAUUACAGAGUACCUCAAGGUUCAAUUUUAGGCCCCAUUUUAUUUAUUUUGUAUUUGCUGCCUCUUGGAAAUAUUUUUAAGAAAUUUAAUAUCUGUUUUCAAUGCUUUGCUGAUGAUGAGCAGAUAUACAUGCCCCUCAAGAAACUACAUCAGGAUGAUUCCCUACAGUCUUUAACAGAUUGCUUAACAGACCUUAGCCAGUGGAUGAACCAAAACUUUCUUCACUUAAAUCAAAAUAAAACUCAAAUUAUUCUGUUUGGACAAAAGAGCCUUAUUAGUAUCAAAAUUAUUUGUUUCCUUGCUCCUUUUUAUCAGUCUUCUGUUAGGAAUCUUGGUGUUAUUUUUGACAGUUGUCUUAAAUUGGAUAAGCAGGUGAGCUAUGUCGUGAAAUCGAGCUUUUUUUCCAUCUGUGCCUUCUUGCAAAGGUUAAAUCUAGGUUCUGUCUUAAAGACUUUGAGAAACAUAUCCAUGCCUUCAUCAUUACAUGUUUAGACUAUUGCAACUCAUUAUACAAAAAUAUGGACCAAUCUUCUCUACAGCGUUGUAACAUAACCACUAUGUAAAUUGUUUUCUGAAUAUAUUAAAAAGUAAAUGUA